CUUCUGGCGCCAGAGUCACUGUGCUGAUCACCAGCCACAGAAAUCACUUGAUGAGAUGGAAGGAUGCCCUGCUUUCCCCACAAAGCCUUUUUAAAACACAGUGUGGUCCUGUAUCCAAUUUCCCCUGGACUCUCGGGAAUCCCUGACUUGUAAGGGGCCUUUGGCUCGAGAUUUCUUAAGAUAAUCUCCUUUAAGUCAAAGAUAUGUCUGCGGUGGAAUUUAGCUGUUUUGGUUGAGGCCAGAUUCCCUCUGAAGAAUAAAAGGACCACCGGAUAAUUGAUGUUUAUUAACUACUUCUGUGGCAUAACUGAGAGAGAGAACAUGCCUUGAAGCCCUCAGCAGGUGCUGCUUUCUGGCUCGGGGGCCACUGGGACCACAGGAUUGUUCCAAGUUCCACCAUUGCCUAUCUAGGUGCAUCCCCUGGACCUGCCCCACGUGACUACUGCAUAUAUGGUUUCGAGCCACUGAGAAUAGUCAUGGAUCUGCCUGACUUGGUGGAGGAGAUUCCAAGAGGACAGUGGUCGUGA
rnacentral:lncRNA from 1 species